AAAACAUCAUUUUAUGGUACGGCAUUUUACCAAAAUCAAACUUGUGAGUUGCGAAUAAGCUUUGACAGUUUAGUCCAGAAGCUCGUGAAUCUAACAUGUUACAUGACCUCAUUAAGUGAACAUCAAGGUUAACAAACUCAUUUUCUCAGCACAAGCUACUGACAAGUUAAGCCAUAAAAGUCACCUACACUUUCAGCAGACAAGAGAAGACCUGAGUGAUGUGGCGGUAGGAAGACAUGUGCACGAUGCCCAUCGGAUAACUGUUUCGGUCACCACAAUAUCAAUCUGCUCAAAUUCACCAAGACCAAUUGUGUGGUUCCUCCUGCUCUGGAUGCCUAAGGCUCUAGAUCCAUUGGAUCCGCUCUUUCUAACUUCGGUUGUCUUAUCUCUUACCACUUGCUCAAAGCAUACAGGAGAAUCUGACAACAUAAACACCUUUCCCACACUGGCAUCUUUAUGAAGUAAAUCCACAUCAGAUGCCCUAACAGAUAAAUCAACUUCAUAACUCCCUUGAUCAACAACUGAAUUCGAGCCGAAGAAUGUAAAACUAGGCAGCGUUAGAACAGGAGAAGCAAAGUCAUGGCCAUUUGAUCCAUUAGUACCACUGAAUGAGAAUACAGCGGAUCCAUAGGAAGUUGUUGAUUGUUCGGUUAGUAAAGUAGAAAAUGAUGAUUUGCAUGUGAAUUUUGGCGAUUGGGCAUCAAUUAGAACAGCAGAACCUGGACCAAAACUGAUAUCCUGAUUCCGAGUCAUGAGAGAAGAGCAGCAGGAGCCUUCAUCUGAAUGCACUUUUAGGCAUGGCCCAUCAAAAUGCGGUGAGAUAUCCCGUACCCAAGCAUGAUCUAGAAUUUGCUGAGGUGUAAGCCUCUGGGAAGGAUCCGUACAUAACAUUCCUUUAAUCAACUCUUUUGCUGAAGAUGAUAUUGUAUCCCAGCGAUCAGACGGAAACCGCAAAUCCGCUGCCCUGACAGCAUCAAAGAUCUUUGACUUUGUCUUCCCCCAAAAUGGUGGUAUUCCACUAAGAAGAAUGUAAAGAAUAACACCAGUGCUCCAGAUAUCAGCUGCUUCAUUAUAACCUCCUGCCAGGACCUCAGGAGCUAUAUAAAAUGGGCUGCCAACAGUACCAUGCAAAUUUUGACCUGGCUUGAUGUAAGUUGCGAGACCAAAAUCAGCUAAUUUUAUCGGAGACGAAGAACCCUUUGUAGCCAAAAGAAUGUUCUCUGGCUUAAGAUCUCUGUGUACAAUGCCUUUAUGAUGACAGUACAUCACCACUUCCAUUAGGUCAUGGAAGAGAACCCUGGCUUCAGCCUCAGAAAAUCUACCAUGCCUCUCGAGCUGGUGGAAAAGUUCUCCCCCAGCACAAAGCUCCAUUACUAGAUGUACACAAUCUUCUUCCUCGUAAACCGCCUUGAGAUCUACAACAUUUGGG
rnacentral:misc_RNA from 1 species